AACCCAGGCAAGUGCCCUUGACUAGAAUCAAACCCAGGACCUUUGAGUUGGUAGGCCAACGCUCUAUCCACUGAGCCAAACUGGCCAGGUUGAUUUUUAAAAUAAUAAUGUUUAACAAGUAUGUAGCAGUUUUUUUAAAUGCAUUUUUAUCAUCACAUUUUAACCUUUUUUCUUUUAUAAAGUAUACAUACAGAAAACUGCAUAAAAUAUGUAUGUAUAAUUUAGUAAAUACUUAUAAAGAAAACUCAUACAUCUAUCACACAGAUGAAGAACUACUCCUAAACAAUGUAAAUUAGCUUUAUCUGAUUUUUGAACUUUUUUUCUUUUUACUAUGAAAAAUCUCAAACCUAAAGAAAAGUAGCAAAAUAAUGCAAUGAACCUUUGUAUAAUCCUACCUAGGUUCAUAUUUGUUAACAGUUUGUACAUUUUGUUUGUAUCUGAAUAGGUGGAUAUGGAUAUAUAUUUUUUAUUUGCUGAACCAUUUAAAAAUAAGUGGCAGGCAUUAGUUUUGAAUACACUUAUGCACAUUAUUUUGUACCUCUUCUUUAUUUUAUUAAUAUGAAAUUUGUGAGAUUGAUUCAGGUUGUUGCAAAAGCUGUUACUAGUUCAUUUAGAUGUCUCUGUUUUAUUCUAUUGUAUUUAUGUACCAUGAUUUUAUACUCUCUAAUGUUGAGAGCCAUUUGAGUUAUCUCAAUUUUUCCCUAUUACAAAGAAUACUGCUUUGAA